UACGUAGGGGGCGAGCGUUGUCCGGAUUUAUUGGGCGUAAAGCGCGCGUAGGCGGUGCCGUAAGUCGGCCGUGAAAUCUCCAGGCUCAACCUGGAGGGGUCGGGCGAGACUGCGGGGCUAGAGGCGGGCAGAGGCCGGUGGAAUUCCGGGUGUAGUGGUGGAAUGCGUAGAGAUCCGGAGGAACACCAGCGGCGAAGGCGGCAUCCUGGACUGGUCCUGACACUCAGGAGCGAAAGCGUGGGUAGCGAACAGG
rnacentral:rRNA from 1 species